rnacentral:tRNA from 1 species
CCCUCCGUGGUGUAGUUGGUAUAACACCGGACUGUAAAUCCACUGGUCACCGGUGCUACUCCGGUCGGAGGAA